rnacentral:rRNA from 1 species
GCGCUCUUCCCCACCUCCGUGCCCUCGCUGCGCGCCUACCCGCGGCUGCUCCUCGCCUUCCGCCGCCCCGCCGCGGCCGCCGUCGCCGACCCGCAGGGCGCCGCCGUGCUCGAGGAGGAGGACGACGAGGCGCCCGUGCAGUUCGACGACGUCGACGAGGACUACGAGGACGGCUACGGCGGCCGCGGCCCCGCGUUCACGGCCCCCACCCGCCCGCGCACCGGCAAGGCCGCCCUCCCGCUCAAGCGCGACCGCACGAGGUCCAAGAGAUACCUGGAGAUACAGAAGCUGAGGGAGAGCAAGAAGGAGUACGACGUGCCCAUGGCCAUCUCGCUCAUGAAGCAGGUCGCCAACACCCGCUUCGUCGAGUCCGCCGAGGCGCAUUUCCGCAUGAACCUCGACCCCAAGUACAACGACCAGCAGCUCCGGGCCACGGUCAAUUUGCCCAAGGGGACGGGACAGACCGUGAAAAUUGCAGUUCUCACCCAAGGUGAGAAGAUAGAUGAGGCAAGGGCUGCAGGUGCUGAUAUUGUUGGCUCAGAUGACUUGAUUGAACAAAUAAAAGGAGGAUUCAUGGAGUUUGACAAAUUGAUUGCGUCACCUGAUAUGAUGCCUAAGGUUGCCAGCUUGGGUAAGAUUCUAGGACCAAGAGGAUUGAUGCCCAACCCCAAAGCUGGUACUGUUUCUCCAAACAUUACGCAGGCUAUCGAUGAGUUCAAGAAAGGUAAAGUUGAAUUCAGAGUUGACAAGACAGGGAUUGCGCACAUUCCUUUCGGCAAGGUUAACUUCCCUGAAGAAGACCUUAUUGCAAACUUCAUGGCUGUUGUUCGCUCUAUUGAGAGGAACAAGCCAUCUGGUGCAAAGGGGAUAUACUGGAAAACGGCAUAUGUAUGCUCAUCAAUGGGACCUUCAAUCAAGCUGAACAUAAAAGAAAUGCUCGACUAUGGCGCAGAUUCGUCUAACUAG